CUUUUUGCUGCUGGAGUCUACGUCAUCGUGCUUAAAUCAACGCUUUUCCCACAAUCCUUUCGCAAACCUAAUCCAAUGCUACUCUGCUUUUACGAGUUUCUCACGACAGCGUUCUUCCUGGAGUUCUCGAUUGCCUGCAUCUGGACACCCAUCGAUGUUCUCAUGCUAACCACUCUACCCAAGGCCAUUUGCCACGUAACGUAACGAUCUCCCGUUCAUUCCAUUGAUCGCAUUCGUUGCGAUAACGAUUAAAAGACUUCGCUUACCUUUGUACGCGCUUGUGUAAGCGUGAUCUCUCUCUCGCUUUUUAUAUCUCAUUCUCUUGCUCUCUCAUAAGAUUCCUCGAUAAUAGACUCUUCAAGAUUAUGGAUUCAACGAGGCCGCCGAAACCUUCGUAGCUAACAAAUCGUCUAUGGCAGCGCUUAGUUACGGAACGGCAACCACAUUCUUCUUGCUUGCACUGCACGUUACUAAAACGGUGGACUACACAAUACUCACAGAAUACGGACUCACUUGCUUUGGUUCUUAUUUGAAAAAUAAACUCUGGCAACAAAUACUAAGCGAACUUCCAAAGUCGAAGCAGAAUAGGAGAUGCCCGUGUAGGCCUCGAAGGAAAAAUCGUAGCAAAAGUCGUAGCAAGGAUCCCAAAUCGCAAACGUACACGUAAUGUUUAAUAAAAUUAAAUAAAUUAAAAACUCUCAGCCGAAAACGUGAUGGCUUCCAAUUUCCUUUCCCCUCUAUUUCUAUUCUUUCUCUCUUUCUCUCUUUUUUUUUUUAUGAAAAAGAAGGCAUUUAUUUCAUUCGAACUGAAAUGUAAAGUACAAAUUGUAUAGAUAAUA